rnacentral:rRNA from 1 species
UACGUAGGUGGCAAGCGUUGUCCGGAUUUAUUGGGUUUAAAGGGUGCGUAGGCGGCUUUGUAAGUCAGUGGUGAAAUAUGGCAGCUCAACUGUCAGGGUGCCAUUGAUACUGCGGAGCUUGAGUACAGAUGGGGUAGGCGGAAUUGACGGUGUAGCGGUGAAAUGCUUAGAUAUCGUCAAGAACACCGAUAGCGAAGGCAGCUUACUGGGCUGUAACUGACGCUGAGGCACGAAAGUGUGGGGAUCAAACAGG